rnacentral:lncRNA from 1 species
UUGCUUGAUAUCAUCUGCUGAGAAAAAGAUGAGAUAAGGAAAUGUUUUCAUCCUCAAAAAACACAAAGAAAUACUCUUCAUUUUUCCAGGAAAGCAGUCUCCUAGUUCCAAAAAUGAGUGCAAAGAGAAAAUUCCCAUAGAAGCAUAAGCACACAAGGACUGCACUUUAUGUCUUACUUCAGACAAGAAAAACUGGCCAGACUUGAGAACCCUGCCUCUUCCACUAUCUAUUUCCUUUCCUGGCCCUUGAGGUUUCCUGGAAAAUAUGAGCAUUAAAGUAAUUUAAACCAUUCUAUUCCAUCUAUUAUAUCACCCCAAACAACCAUAAAUCUCUAAGACAUAAAAUGUGUUCAACAUGAACAAUAAGAAAUAAUGUAUACCAGCUUUUCAUAUUU